GUCCACGCCCUAAACGAUGUCGACUGGUUGUUGGAAGGGUAACCUUUAGUAACGAAGCUAACGCGUGAAGUCGACCGCCUGGGGAGUACGGUCGCAAGAUUAAAACUCAAAGGAAUUGACGGGGACCCGCACAAGCGGUGGAUGAUGUGGUUUAAUUCGAUGCAACGCGAAAACCUUACCUACACUUGACAUGUCAGAAAUCCUGCAGAGAUGUGGGAGUGCCGCAAGGAAUCUGAACACAGGUGCUGCAUGGCUGUCGU
rnacentral:rRNA from 1 species